rnacentral:rRNA from 1 species
AGGAGGGCUGGACCUCUCGGGGUUACAGCCUUGCUGAAUUAUUCACCCUUGUCUUUUGCGUACUUCUUGUUUCCUUGGUGGGUUCGCCCACCACUAGGACAAACAUAAACCUUUUGUAAUUGCAAUCAGCGUCAGUAACAAAUUAAUAAUUACAACUUUCAACAACGGAUCUCUUGGUUCUGGCAUCGAUGAAGAACGCAGCGAAAUGCGAUAAGUAGUGUGAAUUGCAGAAUUCAGUGAAUCAUCGAAUCUUUGAACGCACAUUGCGCCCUUUGGUAUUCCAAAGGGCAUGCCUGUUCGAGCGUCAUUUGUACCCUCAAGCUUUGCUUGGUGUUGGGCGUCUUGUCUCUAGCUUUGCUGGAGACUCGCCUUAAAGUAAUUGGCAGCCGGCCUACUGGUUUCGGAGCGCAGCACAAGUCGCACUCUCUAUCAGCAAAGGUCUAGCAUCCAUUAAGCCUUUUUUUCAACUUUUGACCUCGGAUCAGGUAGGGAUACCCGCUGAACUUAAGCAUAUCA